rnacentral:hammerhead_ribozyme from 1 species
CCGCGAAACGGCCUGCAGGGGCCGUCGCCGGAACGUGGCGGUUCCGGCCUGAUGAGCAGCCGAGG